UAAGCAUCUAGCGCACCGAAACGAGCGGAACACGUGAGAAUAACGUCGAUCGAGAGCAUUCCACUACCAUAGGCACGCCGCACCCAUGCAGCUUAGCGCGAUAAACCCGAGAGGGACCGAGGGACCUUAGACCAACGAGGGGAUACGUCUAGCGCGACGCAACGUCCUAAUCGAGCAACGAUUGCCCAUAGCGGGGGGGCAUUACACCAUGGCCGGGUGAGACCGUUGCUCCACAUGAAGCUCAGCACACCCAACCGUGGGGAUCAGCCCCCUACACACGCACAAGCUCAAGCACAACCACCGUGCCGUCAUUGCGUGCAUCUGGUAGCUAUUGGCUCAUCGGGCUAGGCAUUCAUACAAAUACCAUCAUUGCCGCAAUGAUUGCCAGCAAAUCGCGCACAACAAAAAAAUUGCACCCGCACACUCCGCCCACGGCUCGCCGGAAAGACACCGUUGAGGUGGCCGGACCCGAUGUCCGGCACCACUCGGGACCGAUGGGGGGGACUCAUGUCCCUAGAU
rnacentral:lncRNA from 1 species